rnacentral:rRNA from 1 species
AUGCACUCCAUUUCUGAUCUCAUAGCAAGCCAUGACCCGGACGUCAUCUUCUUGCAGGAGGUGACGGGUUACAUGAAGGAUAUCCUUCGGAGGUCCCCAUGGUGGGAACAGUACAGGGAAUUCACUGCUCCGACCUCAAGCCCUUGUUCGAUUCUGCUGACCAAGCUCCAUGCAGGGGACGAUCGAUGUGACAUCAUGCCAGAGCCAUGGCUGCGGCCACCAGGAGAUCCAGCGGGUUUGUUAUCGGCGUUCCUUGACUGGAAGCGCCCCACAGACACCGACAGAGACGCCGUCAAGGACCGCAAAAAAAAGAACCGCCGCCUGCACCCGAUGUGCUGCGACUGCGAGCACAGGCUGCACGCGGCGACGUGCCGCUUCCCCGGGCCCACUCAGUCGGACAUUCGGUCCGUCGACAGAAUCGGCAGAGCCCACGAGUACUUCCGGCACUUCGCGAACUGCUCCGAUCACAACGCGGUGCUCGCCGGCGACAUGAGCUUGGACGACGACCUCGACGGCCCCUUCCCCAUCCCCGCGGGGUCGGGGUGGGUGGACGCCUGGUGCGAGCUGCGGGCCAGCGACGUGGCCGGAUGGACGUACGACUCGGUGGCGAACCCGAUGCUCCGGGGGUUCAAGCCGGGGCUGACGAGGCCGGACAGGUUCCUCUGCAAGCUCAGGGACUUCGACCUGUACAGCAUCGAGAUGGUCGGCACAGAGGCCAUUCGAGGCGUUACCUACUACGACGACAAUGGGGACUUGCUGCCGGUUCUUCCCAGCCAUCGCUUCGGCCUGCUGCUUACCAUCUCGCCCAAGCAGGCUUAG